rnacentral:misc_RNA from 1 species
GAAAUGCGAUAAGUAAUGUGAAUUGCAGAAUUCUGUGAAUCAUCGAAUCUUUGAACGCACAUUGCGCCCUCUGGCAUUCCGGGGGGCAUGCCUGUCCGAGCGUCAUUACGCACCCUCAAGCCCGGCUUGUGUGAUGGGCCCCGGCGUCUCGUUCGCGAGACGGGCCCGAAAGGCAGCGGCGGCGUCGACCCGAUGAGCCCGAGCGUAUGGGGACUUCUGUCACACGUUCGCGGUGCGGACCGGCGCCUGCUUGACUUUUCUGAUUAUCCAGGUUGACCUCGGAUCAGGUAGGGAUACCCGCUGAACUUAAGC